UUAAUAAUGAUUCAUGGAUAUGGAUAUUCACAACAGCUGUGUCCUCACCUUUAAGUACCUCAUACAAUAUUUAGAAAGUACUGGGAGAUAUUGCAGCAGGGAAGCUACUAAAUUGCUGGAAGGAAAAGCUUGUUUAAAUUGUUUAAUGUGCUUCCUUAAAACUAGUGUACUGAUUCUUGGGAGUGAAUCUCUCUUCCUCUGUCUGUCUCCAAUAAAACUGCUGAGAGUCAACAUAAAGAGGCAGAGCUACAUCAGUUCUCUUUUCAUCGUAAAUUCUGAACUCUGGGCUUGGACUCUACUGAAGGAUGACCCACAAGCAAGACUUCAAGUCUUGGAGAAACUACAAGAACGAGUAGCUGGAGCACUUAUUCUUUCACUUAUGGUGAACAUGAAGAGCAGGACUGCUAAAUGAUUCCACACUCCCUAGCAUCUAUUUAGAUGUCAGAUAGUGAAGGGCAACAGCUGUUCCUGAAAUCUGGUUUCUGCCCUUUUCCUCAUGACCCUGAGCUACCCAACUGGCAGCGCAGCUCUGUCCAGAGCAGUGAUCCCUGAAA
rnacentral:lncRNA from 1 species